rnacentral:rRNA from 1 species
UUGAUCUCAAAUCAGGUAGGACUACCCGCUGAACUUAAGCAUAUCAAUAAGCGGAGGAAAAGAAACUAACAAGGAUUCCCCUAGUAACUGCGAGUGAAGCGGGAAGAGCUCAAAUUUAAAAUCUGGCGUGCCUCUGGUCGUCCGAGUUGUAGUCUGGAGAAGCGUUUUCCGUGUUGGACCGUGUAUAAGUCUCUUGGAACAGGGCGUCGUAGAGGGUGAGAAUCCCGUCUUUGACACGGACUACCAAUGCUUUGUGAUGCGCUCUCAAAGAGUCGAGUUGUUUGGGAAUGCAGCUCAAAAUGGGUGGUAAAUUCCAUCUAAAGCUAAAUAUAGGCGAGAGACCGAUAGCGAACAAGUACCGUGAGGGAAAGAUGAAAAGCACUUUGGAAAGAGAGUUAAACAGUACGUGAAAUUGCUGAAAGGGAAACGCUUGAAGUCAGUCACGUCUGCCAGGACUCAGCCUUGCUUCUGCUUGGUGUACUUUCUGGUUUGAUGGGCCAACAUCGAUUUUGACCGUCGGAAAAAGGCUUUGGGAACGUGGCACCUUAGGGUGUGUUAUAGCCCAUUGUUGUAUACGACGGUUGGGAUCGAGGACUGCAGCACGCCUUUAUGGCCGGGGUUCGCCCACGUACGUGCUUAGGAUGUUGGCAUAAUGGCUUUAAGCGACCCGUCUUGAACCACGGACCA